AGUCAGUCUGUCCGCCUCCGCACCGCUGUCCUAGAAAUGGAACUCAGUAAACAGAUCAGUUACCAUUUUACGUCAACCUGGACAUGAAGUGGACUGUGUUUUACCAGUGAUAUUUCAGACAACAUUAAAAUCGUUUCUAUUUACGUUUUAUUAUUUACCAGUAACACGUUGGGGCAUCAGCUGUAGGUCAGUCAAAUGUAAACACUGAAUGUGGACAGAUUUUAAAACGGGAUAUUCAUCGAAUGGGGCUGUUUUAUUACGUCUGCACAUGGUUGGCGUCAUGCUUUUGUCACAUACCAGCAUUGGUGCUGAAGCCUCACACUCAAGCUGCUGCCUGCAUAUUGAGAUGCACUUCAGUGAAGUCUCCUCGGCAGCUGCCAUCCGGUCUAGACGGAGCAGCUCCACUCUUAUCAAGAUCAAAGCACAUGCUUACACACUGAAAACCGGGAAGUGUGUGUGUUUGUGGUAAAAAACAGAGAAUUCAACGUGAACAGAAUUGCUGUUUUGCUUAUCAUACAGCAUGAUUUAUUCAAAGCUGGAAAAAUAGCUGAAUUCUGGUUACCUUACAAAAUCAUAGAAGGCCUGAGGACUUCUAUCUUAGUUUCUUUGUACAUUCAGAUCUCCUUUAUUUAAUGGCAUUUUAUAGCACACAUGUGGCUGCAUGGUUUACUGAUCUUCUCACACAUGCUCAUUCACUUGCUCAAGACCACAAGCAUUCAGCUUCCACAAACCUGACCCUGACAUAUAAGCCUGAAAUAGACGCCUACUUAGACAUGACAUCAACCAGUCUGUCAACCAGAGAACAGACACAUACUUACAUUUAGUGCACAUGUCUGCAGAGCUAAAUGACCUCUGCUUAAAAGUCUAGUGGGGAAAUCUCAGGCAGCUGUGCAAAGAAGGCAAGGACACAGCUGUAAAGUGUGUCUGUCUGUAUGUGUUAGAAGCCUGCUUCAGUGCAGGGUCAGGGUCCGUUAUAUUAUCACACCCGAAGAAAAAAAUACCCCUGCAUGUUCAAGGCUUUAGAUCUGCUGCAGGACAUGCAGGAUAGACAAUGUUUGUUUUUUACAAAUGCUUUUUUCAUAUGGCAGAGGGCAAAAACACCAUCAUUGGCACUUAAGCAACUCUACUCAUAUUCACUGCUAUUAGUUUGACGGUUAGUUCUCACAUUAAAGUUUACAAAGCUGCUUUUACUGAACCACAUUUGAUGGAUUAGAUAUUUUGGUAACACUUUACAAUCAGGUUUCAUUCCUUGACAUUAGUUAAUGCAUUAAGUAUCAUGAACUAACAAUUAAUUAUAUAUUUUUACAGCAUUUAUUAAUGUUAGUUAAUAAAAGAACAACUGUUCAUUGUUAGUUCAUAGUGCAUUAACUACUGAUAACUUUUGAUAUUAAAAAUGUAUUACCUAGGUACCAUUAACCUAGACUAAUAAAUGCUGUAAAAGUAUUGAUCAUUAUUAGGUCAUGGUAACUAAUGUUAACAAAUUGAUACUUAUUGUAAAGUGUUAUUGAUAUUUUAAUAUGUUGGUUUAGAAAUAACCUUGGAAGAUGAAUACAGGGCCUUAUUUCUUCACUGUUUCAUGUUAAGGGAAAUUGAGCAUGUUUUUUAUUAACCGAUUUAAUGGAUGAAGCACAUCAAAUGUUAAUUGAUUCGAUGAAUAAUACAAGAGUUUAAAGUACUGACAUAACCUUUCUUUCUCCUUUCAUAAUUUAUCUAAACCAAGCUUGAUUUGGUGGCAAAUGUAUGCAACAAAUAACUGGGUAUAACUCACAAAAUAAAAGUUAAGUUUAUUGCUGAACAACAAACUUCACACAUACAACAAACAGGCCAAGGUAAAACAAAUAAUGUAGACAAAACAAAUAGAAAGACACCACAACUCCUUUUCUUUGGCCUAGCCCUCCCAUACAAAAACUAGUUUUAUGGUACAACUAGUUAUGGUACAACUAAA